ACACCGGCAGCCCAAGCGGUGGUCAUUUUUAUUGGGCCUAAAGCGUUCGUAGCCGGCCUGGUAAGUUUCUGGUGAAAACUUAGGGCUCAACUCAAGGAUUGCAGUUGAAACUGUUUCUCUUGAGUGUAGUAGAGGAAAGCGGAAUUCCGGGUGUAAGGGUGAAAUGUGUAGAGAUCCGGAGGAAAACCAGUGGCGAAGGCGAUUUACUGGGCUAUAACUGACGCUGAGGCGCGAAAGUGUGGGGAGCAAACAGGAUUAGAUACCCUGGUAGUCCACACUGUAAACGAUGAUUACUAGGUGUGGGAGGUCUGACCCCCUCCGUGACGCAGUUAACGCAAUAAGUAAUCCGCCUGGGGAGUACGACCGCAAGAUUGAAACUCAAAGGAAUUGACGGGG
rnacentral:rRNA from 1 species